GGGCACGCUAGUGUUCGUGGAGUCAUUGUUGAAAUACCACUCUGGUCACUCUGGAUAUCUAACUUCGGACCCUAAUCGGGUUCAGGGACAGUGCCUGAUGGGUAGUUUAACUGGGGCGGUUGCCUCCCAAAGAGUAACGGAGGCGCCCAAAGGUUCCCUCAACCUGGUUGGCAAUCAGGUGGCGAGUGUAAGUGCACAAGGGAGCUUGACUGUGAGACUGACAAGUCGAGCAGGGACGAAAGUCGGGACUAGUGAUCCGGCAGUGGCUUGUGGAAGCGCUGUCGCUCAACGGAUAAAAGGUACCUCGGGGAUAACAGGCUGAUCUUGCCCAAGAGUCCAUAUCGACGGCAUGGUUUGGCACCUCGAUGUCGGCUCGUCGCAUCCUGGGGCUGGAGUAGGUCCCAAGGGUUGGGCUGUUCGCCCAUUAAAGCGGUACGCGAGCUGGGUUUAGAACGUCGUGAGACAGUUCGGUCCCUAUCCGCUGCGCGCGCAGGAAAUUUGAGAAGAUCUAUCCCUAGUACGAGAGGACCGGGAUGGACGAACCUCUGGUGUGUCAGUUGUUCCGCCAGGAGCACCGCUGAUUAGCUACGUUCGGAACGGAUAACCGCUGAAAGCAUCUAAGCGGGAAGCCGGCUUCGAGAUGAGAUUUCCAUCCCUUCGGGGGAGAGGCUCCCAGCCAGACGACUGGGUUGAUAGGCCGGAUGUGGAAGACAGGACUAAAGACUGUCGGAGCUGACCGGUACUAAUAAGCCGAUAACUUGAUAA
rnacentral:rRNA from 2 species